rnacentral:rRNA from 1 species
CACGUAGGGUGCGAGCGUUGUCCGGAAUUAUUGGGCGUAAAGAGCUCGUAGGCGGUGUGUCGCGUCGGCUGUGAAAACCUGCAGCUUAACUGUGGGCUUGCGGUCGAUACGGGCAUCACUGGAGUUCGGCAGGGGAGACUGGAAUUCCUGGUGUAGCGGUGAAAUGCGCAGAUAUCAGGAGGAACACCGGUGGCGAAGGCGGGUCUCUGGGCCGAUACUGACGCUGAGGAGCGAAAGCGUGGGGAGCGAACAGG